rnacentral:rRNA from 1 species
GCGACGCCGCGUGAGGGAUGAAGGCCUUCGGGUUGUAAACCUCUUUCAGUAGGGAAGAAGCUGGCCUUUGGGUUGGUGACGGUACCUGCAGAAGAAGCGCCGGCUAACUACGUGCCAGCAGCCGCGGUAAUACGUAGGGCGCAAGCGUUAUCCGGAAUUAUUGGGCGUAAAGAGCUCGUAGGCGGUUUGUCGCGUCUGCCGUGAAAGUCCGGGGCUUAACUCCGGAUCUGCGGUGGGUACGGGCAGACUAGAGUGCAGUAGGGGAGACUGGAAUUCCUGGUGUAGCGGUGAAAUGCGCAGAUAUCAGGAGGAACACCGAUGGCGAAGGCAGGUCUCUGGGCUGUAACUGACGCUGAGGAGCGAAAGCAUGGGGAGCGAACAGGAUUAGAUACCCUGGUAGUCCAUGCCGUAAACGUUGGGCACUAGGUGUGGGGGACAUUCCACGUUUUCCGCGCCGUAGCUAACGCAUUAAGUGCCCCGCCUGGGGAGUACGGCCGCAAGGCUAAAACUCAAAG